rnacentral:rRNA from 1 species
AUCAGGUAAGACUACCCGCUGAACUUAAGCAUAUCAGUAAGCGGAGGAAAAGAAACUAACAAGGAUUCCCCUAGUAACGGCGAGUGAAGCGGGAAGAGCUCAAAUUUGAAAUCGGGGGGCUUUCAGUGGCCCCUAGCCGAAUUGUAGUUUGAAGUGGCGCCAUAUUUGUGCGAGGAAGGAAUGAUCUUGGCCGGGCCAAAGUCCCCUUGGAAAAGGGCAUCAGAGAGGGUGACAAUCCCGUUCAGGGCCCCCUUUGUUUGAUCCUCUCCUCCAUUUCGCCCUCCCCUCGGGGGGGGUGAAGCAGGCGAUCUCCACGAAGAGUCGGGUUGUUUGGGAAUGCAGCCCAAAAGGGGUGGUAAAUCUCAUCUAAGGCUAAAUAGCGGCGAGAGACCGAUAGCGAACAAGUACCGUGAGGGAAAGAUGAAAAGAACUUUGAAAAGAGAGUUAAACAGUACGUGAAAUUGUUAAAAGGGAAACGCUUGAAAGCCAGUGC